rfam:Ixodes scapularis strain Wikel colony gcontig_1108378754316, whole genome shotgun sequence.
UCCUGGUUAGCACAGUUGGUAGAGCACUCUACUUUAAAUGGAGAGGUCCCUGGUUCGGUAUCAGGACCAGGCG